GCGAACGCUGGCGGCAGGCUUAACACAUGCAAGUCGAGCGGGCCCUUCGGGUCAGCGGCAGACGGGUGAGUAACACGUGGGAACGUGCCCUUCGGUUCGGAAUAACUCAGGGAAACUUGAGCUAAUACCGGAUACGCCCUUAUGGGGAAAGGUUUACUGCCGAAGGAUCGGCCCGCGUCUGAUUAGCUAGUUGGUGGGGUAAUGGCCCACCAAGGCGACGAUCAGUAGCUGGUCUGAGAGGAUGAUCAGCCACACUGGGACUGAGACACGGCCCAGACUCCUACGGGAGGCAGCAGUGGGGAAUAUUGGACAAUGGGCGGCAACCCUGAUCCAGCAAUGCCGCGUGAGUGAUGAAGGCCUUAGGGUUGUAAAGCUCUUUUGCCAGGGACGAUGAUGACGGUACCUGGAGAAUAAGCCCCGCUAACUUCGUGCCAGCAGCCGCA
rnacentral:rRNA from 1 species